rnacentral:rRNA from 1 species
CAUGCAAGUCGAGGGGCAGCAUAAUGGUAGUAAUACUAUUGAUGGCGACCGGCGGACGGGUGCGUAACGCGUAUGCAACCUACCCUUUACAGGGGGAUAACACUGAGAAAUCGGUACUAAUACCCCAUAAUAUUCUGGGAGGCAUCUUUCGGAGUUGAAAGCUUUGGUGGUAAAGGAUGGGCAUGCGUUGUAUUAGCUAGUUGGUAAGGUAACGGCUUACCAAGGCGACGAUACAUAGGGGGACUGAGAGGUUAACCCCCCACAUUGGUACUGAGACACGGACCAAACUCCUACGGGAGGCAGCAGUGAGGAAUAUUGGUCAAUGGACGGAAGUCUGAACCAGCCAUGCCGCGUGCAGGAAGACGGCUCUAUGAGUUGUAAACUGCUUUUGUACGAGGGUAAACGCAGAUACGUGUAUCUGCCUGAAAGUAUCGUACGAAUAAGGAUCGGCUAACUCCGUGCCAGCAGCCGCGGUAAUACGGAGGAUCCAAGCGUUAUCCGGAUUUAUUGGGUUUAAAGGGUGCGUAGGCGGUUUAGUAAGUCAGCGGUGAAAUUUUGGUGCUUAACACCAAACGUGCCGUUGAUACUGCUGGGCUAGAGAGUAGUUGCGGUAGGCGGAAUGUAUGGUGUAGCGGUGAAAUGCUUAGAGAUCAUACAGAACACCGAUUGCGAAGGCAGCUUACCAAACUAUAUCUGACGUUGAGGCACGAAAGCGUGGGGAGCAAACAGGAUUAGAUACCCUGGUAGUCCACGCAGUAAACGAUGAUAGCUCGUUGUCGGCGAUACACAGUCGGUGACUAAGAGAAAUCGAUAA